rnacentral:rRNA from 1 species
UACAGGUGUUGCAUGGCUGUCGUCAGCUCGUGUCGUGAGAUGUUCGGUAAGUCCGCUAACGAGCGCAACCCUCGUCGUAUGUUACAAGUGUCAUACGAGACUGCCGGUAAAAAGUCGGAGGAAGGUGAGGAUGAUGUCAAGUCAGCAUGACCUUUAUAUCUAGGGCUACACACACGCUACAAUGGUCUGUACAAUGGGUUGCCAAGCCGCGAGGCGGAGCCAAUCCUAAAAAGCAGGCCUCAGUUCAGAUUGCAGUCUGCAACCCGACUGCAUGAAGCCGGAGUUGCUAGUAACCGCAGGUCAGCAAUACUGCGGUGAAUACGUUCCCGGGUCUU